UACGGAGGGUGCAAGCGUUGUCCGGAUUUAUUGGGUUUAAAGGGUGCGUAGGCGGCCCCGUAAGUCAGUGGUGAAAUACUGCAGCUUAACUGCAGCAUUGCCAUUGAUACUGUAGGGCUUGAGUACAGAUGAGGUAGGCGGAAUUGAUGGUGUAGCGGUGAAAUGCAUAGAUACCAUCAAGAACACCGAUUGCGAAGGCAGCUUACUAAGUUGUAACUGACGCUGAGGCACGAAAGCGUGGGGAUCGAACAGG
rnacentral:rRNA from 1 species